AUGGCCACUACUUGGCCUGUUGCCGGGACUGGCUGGGGCAUAGGCCUGUCCUUCUUAAUUCUCACACCCAUCAUCGCCUUUUACCUGCCCAAAAUCCUAUCCAGAUAUUCCGGAGACGACAUUAACGAGGCACGGCAGAAGCUCCAGGAGCUGGAGAUCCACACCAUCCCGGAACUGAAGAAGACGCUGCGGGAGGUGGAGGAACAGAGGAUGCUGCAGGCAGCGAUAAAAGAGACAUCUGAUGACGCGCUCGACAAGAUGGUGGUCUGGCUGAGGCAUGCCCAGUAUGAAGCGGAAGACAUCCUCGAUCUGAUUGAUUAUCACAAGAUCGAGAGGAAGUUUGUCCUUAAAUCGCAUGGCAGCAGCUGGCCGCAUCGUCUACAUGGCACUGUGUCCACCUGCAACAUGAGCUGCACGGGGAUUGCACAUAUAAUCUGGCAGGGAUCAGCUUGGCUACUGCAGUUGGCGCGGAAGAGCUCCUUGAGUAGGUUUUCAUUCCUCCACAGGUCAGAUGAUGUACUUCCGGUGACGACCAGUGCCACGCCGUCGCCCUCCGACGAGACAGUUCCGGCGGCUACCAGUGCUGCACCCAGGUUCUGCUGCAGCUCCAUAUUCUACUGGUUCCUUGAUGCGGGUGCCCGCAUUUACCGAAACUGGUUUUCUGACGUGGUUGGCAUCACUGGCUACAAGGAGAAUGCCACUGAGUUGGAUUAUGUCCUUCCUAGUGUCUCAAGACGGAACCUGAAGGAAAGAAUAGAGAAAGUACAAAGAACCAUCAGUUUAGUGAAGAAGUCGCAUCUCUUGGUAGCAAGCAAGAGCGCAGCGAAUGAUAUUGUUAACAUGCACAGGAGAAAAAUUACAUCAUGUAGCAGCAAGAGGGAGGUAUUUGGUCGAGACAUAUUGCUUACUGAUAUCAUGUCAAAGUUGCUUGGUGAGACACCACAUAAUAGUAUAGCACUGAGCUCCAGUAGCAAUAAAUGUUACUCCGUGAUUGGCAUAUAUGGCGUUGCAGGGUCAGGGAAGACUACCCUGGCUCGAUAUGUACUGGAUCAUGUAAAGGAGUACUAUGCUGAACAUUUUGACACCCUCAUGUGCAUUCAUGUUACCGAGACUUUUACUGUGGAUGAUAUAUUUCAUGACAUGCUGGAGCAGAUUACCAAACAUAGAAACUCUAACACAUUAAGCUGCGAAGAGCUGAAAAAGAAGUUGAAGCAGAAUUUGAGAGGGAAACGUUUCUUUUUGAUAUUGGAUGAUGUUUGGGUGAAGGGCAACAAUUACCAGGAACUGAAGGAGCUAUGCUCUCCAUUUAAUGUUGGGAUGAAAGGAAGCAAAAUUCUGGCGACUGCUCGAAGAGAAGAUGCAAUUCGAGCUCUAGGUGCCAAUGGACUUAUUGCAAUAUCUGAUUUGGAUGAGGACCAAUACUUCAGAAUGUUCAUGCAUUACGCACUGAAUGGUUUAAGUGUUGAUGAUCGAGAAUUUGAACCAAUUGGGAGAAAGAUUGCGGUGAAGCUACACAGAUCACCUAUUGCAGCAGCAGUAGUGGGAGGACAGCUUCAUGGACAAACCAUCGCAUUUUGGAAAACAACUGCAACACUUGAUGUGUUGAAUGACACCAUGGGAGCUCUUAGGUGGAGCUAUAUGCAACUUGAUAUGGACAUCAGGCGAUGCUUUGAAUACUGCAAUAUUUUCCCUAGAAGAUUCAAACUUGAAAAGGACAAAUUAGUUCACCUGUGGAUAGCGCAAGGGUUUGUGAAGACCGGUCGUGAAACAACGAAUAUGGAAGAUGUAGCUGAAAGGUACAUUCAUGAGUUACAGUCAUGCUCAUUUCUGCAACCAGAAGAAACUGGGUACUUUUCAAUUCAUGACCUGGUGCAUGAAUUAGCACAGACGAUAGCCGGAAGUGAUUCCUUCAGAAUCGAGAAUGCAAGUUGGCGGAGAGAAGAAAUGGAAGUAGAUGUCCCUACAGAUGCUCGACAUCUUUUUGUUCAGAAAUACGACGGAGAUUUGAUUACUAAGAAGAUCCUUCAAAUGGAAAAUUUACGCACACUGAUCUUUUAUACUGUUGGGCGUGCGCCGGUUGAGGAAAAAGUCAUUGAGAGUAUAUUCAAGAGGCUACAGAAAUUGCGGGUACUUGCCAUAACUUUGAGUUCAGAACAUCAUGGUCGAUACAUUAAGAAACCCGACAAGAUCUCAGUCUCAGAAUCUAUCAGUCAGUUAAAGCAUCUACGCUAUCUCGCUAUACGGGCAAAAGUGGCGUGCAGGAUAAUUUUACCAAGCACACUAGCUAAACUUUACCAUAUCCAGAUGCUAGAUUUUGGUAACUGUGAAAAAAUGGAAUUGCCCACUGCUGACCUUAUCAGUAUGCGGCGUUUAUUGUUGCCAUUGACAGGCGUGAAAUUUCCUAACCUAGGCAGGUCAAAGUUGCUCCAGACGCUACCAGGCUUCACUGUAAGGGAUGAACAAGGGUGUGAGUUAAAGCAAUUGAGGGACCUAAACAAGCUUCGCGGCAGCCUGUGGAUCAGGGGGCUUGAAAAUGUUCAGACCAAGAAGGAAGCUCUCGAAGCCAAUCUUGCUGCCAAGGAAAGGCUCACACAAGUGUCACUCGAGUGGCGUGCUAAUAGGAGCUGCAAUCCAAAAGUUCAAGCAGAUGUGCUCGAGUGUCUUUGUCCUCCCACAUCACUUACAAAACUGAAUAUCUUGAACUACAAAGGCUCGAGGUACCCAAAAUGGAUGGUGUGCAAGCAGAACGGCGGUCCAAAGGACCUGAAAGAACUUCGGCUCACUGGGUGGAACCAACUGGGACGUGCUCCUGACCUCGUGGCUUUCACUCUUCUUUCUUCGCUAGAUCUUUGGAACUGUGGAUGGGACGCCUUGCCAGGCAAUAUGGAGCACCUCACAUUGCUAAAGAGACUGGUGAUGUACAAAUGCUUGAAUAUCCUGUCUCUUCCAACAUUGCCCCAGUCUCUCGAGAGGUUUCUACUCCGCAAGUGCAACGAUGGGUUCAUGAAGUCUUGUCUAACAAUCGGACAUCCAAACUGGGAAAAGAUUGAGCACAUUCCUGAGAAAACAAUCGCAGACAAGACGUGGACAGAUCUCUGA
rnacentral:rRNA from 1 species